rnacentral:rRNA from 1 species
GAUGAACGCUAGCGGCAGGCCUAAUACAUGCAAGUCGAACGGUGUCUUCGGACAAAGUGGCGCACGGGUGCGUAACACGUAUGCAACCUACCUUACAUUGGGGGAUAGCCUUUCGAAAGGGAGAUUAAUACCGCAUAAGACAGAAGCUGGGCAUCCAGCAGCUGUUAAAGAUUUAUCGAUGUAAGCUGGGCAUGCGUCCAAUUAGCUAGUUGGGGAGGUAACGGCUCACCAAGGCAAUGAUUGGUAGGGGAACUGAGAGGUCAAUCCCCCACACUGGCACUGAGAUACGGGCCAGACUCCUACGGGAGGCAGCAGUAGGGAAUAUUGGGCAAUGGACGCAAGUCUGACCCAGCCAUGCCGCGUGCAGGAUGAAGGCGUUAUGCGUUGUAAACUGCUUUUAUACAGGAAGAAACGACUCUUGCGAGAGGCAUUGACGGUACUGUAUGAAUAAGCACCGGCUAACUCCGUGCCAGCAGCCGCCGUAACAC